GACGAACGCUGGCGGCGUGCCUAAUACAUGCAAGUAGAACGCUAAAGGAGGAGCUUGCUUCUCUGGAUGAGUUGCGAACGGGUGAGUAACGCGUAGGUAACCUGCCUGGUAGCGGGGGAUAACUAUUGGAAACGAUAGCUAAUACCGCAUAAUAUUGACUAUUGCAUGAUAGUCAGUUGAAAGGUGCAACUGCACCACUACCAGAUGGACCUGCGUUGUAUUAGCUAGUUGGUGGGGUAACGGCUCACCAAGGCGACGAUACAUAGCCGACCUGAGAGGGUGAUCGGCCACACUGGGACUGAGACACGGCCCAGACUCCUACGGGAGGCAGCAGUAGGGAAUCUUCGGCAAUGGACGGAGGUCUGACCGAGCAACGCCGCGUGAGUGAAGAAGGUUUUCGGAUCGUAAAGCUCUGUUGUAAGAGAAGAACGAGUGUGAGAGUGGAAAGCUCACACUGUGACGGUAUCUUACCAGAAAGGGACGGCUAACUACGUG
rnacentral:rRNA from 1 species